rnacentral:rRNA from 1 species
UAACAACUUUCAACAAUGGAUCUCUUGGCUCUGGCAUCGAUGAAGAACGCAGCGAAAUGCGAUAAGUAGUGUGAAUUGCAGAAUUCAGUGAAUCAUCGAAUCUUUGAACGCACAUUGCGCCCCUUGGUAUUCCAUGGGGCAUGCCUGUUCGAGCGUCAUCUACACCCUCAAGCUCUGCUUGGUGUUGGG